rnacentral:sRNA from 1 species
GCUGGGCAUGGUGGUGCACGCCUGUAAUCCCAGCAGUUUGGGAGGCUGAGCCAGGAGGAUGGCAAGUUCAAAGCCAGCCUCAGCAACUCAGCAAGACUCUGUCUCAA